CUGGCAGCGUGGAUUAGGCAUGCAAGUCGAACGGGAUCGCCCGAGUAGCAUACGAGGGCGUGAGAGUGGCGGAUUGGGGAGGAACACGUGAGCAACCUGCCCUGGAGAUGGGGAAAACCGUUGGAAACGACGGCUAAUACCGAAUGUGGCGCCCGCGGGCAUCCGCGGGACGCUGAAGGGGGCCGCAAGGCUCCCGCUCCGGGAUGGGCUCGCGCACCAUCAGCUAGUUGGCGGGGUAACGGCCCACCAAGGCCUACGGUUAGCUGGUCUGAGAGGAUGACCAGCCCCACUGGGACUGAGAUACUGCCCAGACUCCUACGGGAGGCUGCAGUCGAGGAUCAUUCGCAAUGGGCGAAAGCCUGACGAUGCGACGCUGCGUGGAGGACGGAGGCCUUCGGGUCGUAAACUCCUGUCAUGGGGGAAAAGGCGGAGCGGGCCAACAACCCGCCGAGUUGAUGGUACCCCAAGAGGAAGCGACGGCUAACUCUGUGCCAGCCGCCGC
rnacentral:rRNA from 1 species